GUGCGCGGCGAGCGGACUGCUCUCCCCACGCAAGCCGCCCCCUCGCGGCACCCACUCCCCGCCGGCGCUCGAGUCGGUGCGAACCCGCAGACUCACUGGCGACUCGACUGCUGUUCUUCAUGAUAUAUGGUACAUAUACCUGGUCUGGAUUCAGGAGAAAUGGAAGCAAUUGGAGCCAUGCUGUUCUAUUUUCUCAACAUCCAACAACUCAGCGAUAACAGUACCAAUGAUAUGCAUUUGAGAAAGUGAAGCUUGAAAGAUAAAUUAUCCAGAGUUACACAGAGUUAUAGGUCCACAGGUUGACAUUAUCCUCUUGAAGAAAUGGAACAAUACUCCCCAGGUGGUUACUUGACGACAACAGAAGCAUUAGAAGACUCUCCAAAGCAAUUUAAAAGUUAUCCUUUUCCGGGGAUUCACUCAAAUGGUCUGCAAAAUAGAAAUUCCUGACUGCAAAGGAAAGACAGUAAACAUUUCAAGAGAAAUUAUUUGCCUACACAGUACCAGAACUAGCCUGAUUUAAAAGGUCAUCAAGAGAGUGUGACUGCUGGUUCAUCGCUGAGCUCAAACCAGACAACACAUCCAGAAGCUUCUCCUCAUCCAUCCCCCACCCUGGGAAUAUAUGUUCUGUCCACCAUUCCCACAGCAGGAGCUAUUUUCAAGGAUGCAACUUUGAGAGAAAAAAAGAAGAGGCCAGAGGGCCAGUUUGCUCUCUUUCUACCAUGUGAGGAUACAACAGGAAGUCAGCAGUCUGCAAUCCAGAAGAAGGCCUUCACCAGAACCUGAUCAUACUAAAACACUGAUCUCUACUUCCAGCCUCUAGAACUGUGAGAAACAAUUUUUUCAUAUUUCUAAGUGUAAGUCUUUAUACUUUGUUAUAUCACUUCAGUUGACACACUUUGCCAAGGUCAGCCAUUAAACAGCAAAAGCAGAAUUCACACACAGAAAAGAUUCCAGAGACUAAGAUUUAUAUGUUAUGCUGAGUUUCUAAAAAUGAGUACAAAAACCUUACUUAUUUAAUAAAUAAAU